ensembl:lncRNA
UCUGGCCGCCGGCCCGUCGGCCCUGCAAAGUUGAACGCCAAUUCCCCCUGCGUCCUGUGUGGGCUGGGCGAUCCCUCCCUGCGCUGCUGCUCAAAGCAGCCCUGCCGGGCGGCCAGGCAAAACCAGAGAGCGCCUUGACCAUCUAGAUCCCAGGCAGGAGCUAGAGACUUCCAGGCCCAGCCUUGGAGCAGCCCAGAGCUUUCUAGAGAGAUCCCAGCCCCAGUUCCGUCCAGGCCCCUGGGGGCCUCCACUUGCCCUCUUUCCCCUUGUUUGCAAAGUGAACCCCAUAACCUAGAAAGUCGCCAACUCAGUGGGUCCCAGGGGAGCUGUGACUCUCACUGAAGCAAUACUAGGGCUUCAGAACUGUGCAUGGAAUACCAGGUGGUUCUCCAGGCCUUUCAAGGCCAACCUCAGCCUGGAAACGGAUUCCUCUGUCCUGAGGGCCGUCCAGGUCUUGCAUCUCCGUGUAGCCACUGUAGGCCCAGCUCCACAUCAGGCUCAGACAGCAGAGAAACCCCCAUCAAAUCCAAGCCUGGGCUGCAGGAAGUUUCCACUCUUGGCAAUAAAACCAAUUGGGUUUUAUAAAGAGGGAAGUUGUGGGAGGCAUGCAGAGGACAUGCAGGAAUACUUGUUGAUGAAAACCACAAAGAAGCAAAGAAGGUGAAGGACAGGGGAGAGGGAGAACAGGGAGCAAGGGGCACAGAGGUAGGUGAGCUCAAAGGAGUGUUUAUAAGCACCUGCUGUUUGCCUGGAGCUCUACUGCCUUGUGCAGUUUUGCAUUUCAGUUUUGUGAUCAUCUUGACAAUGAGGAGCAGUAAUCACCAUCCGACAUGAGUAUCUGACCCCUAGGGAGGGUUCCAAACUAGCCAAGGGCACUCAGCCAGGAUGUGGCAGGUUCAAGGCCAGGUCAAAGUCCAGCACCAGAAAUUCUUUCACCUAAUGUGCAACUUCCCAGGAGUUUGGUGGCUGCCUCUGCACUUUGAUUUGAUGGCCCUGGCCUGGCUCUUCAACACCUCCUCCUUGCAAUGACUAAAUGAUAGCCACUCCUUUCAUAAGGGCACAGGGCCUCUAGAAGGGGUCUGAUGUGGAUGAAAUGGUGCCAUAAACUGUCCAUCCCCACUAAACACAGGGGCUGGAACUUACUCCCAAUGUAAGGGGAUCACCCAGAAACAAUAUCAGGACUUUUCUUCUUUUCUUUUCCUUUUGCAAGAAGAAAUGCCAUCAAACGAAUAGUAUUGUUCUAGGGACCAGAAGAGCUUGCAGUUAAAAAAUCUUUACCAGUUACAAUUUUGAUAACAUUUUAUAAAUGAGGAAAUUGAGGUUUAGGGAGGCAAAGUGACUUGCUCAGUCUCAAACACUUGGUCCAUCUUUGUCCCAGGUAUGAGCUCUCUAUCAUCACAGAGCACUCUGGCCUACAUUCUGGUGAUAGAGCAGAACUCUAUCCUGCUACCCACUACUGCCUAGGGAGAGAUUCCCAGUUUCUCCGCAGAAAAGAUGAUGUGUGGUCCCAAUCCUGCCCACUUUAUAUGAUGCUCUUAGGCAGUUAAAAUCUGUCCACCAGAGACAAAGGGUUAGCACCUGUCCUCACUCCUUCCUUGUGGGAAGACAAGGGCAGGUUACUUAACCUCUCUGAGCUUUGUUUUCCUCUUCUGAGGAUAGGGACAAAAAUAACACUUACCAUGUGGCACGACUGACACAAGUGGAUAAUACCCUUGUGGCACGAGGGGAUACCUCAGCACGUGUUUCCUAAAGCUAUAGAGAAGACACCAUGAAUUGGUGAACUAAAGCAUCUGGCCCACAUUUUGAGCAGUUAUCAUCACCAUCAUCCUCACUGCCUCCCUCAACUGUAAGGAAAACACCCAAUUUCAUUCUCAGAUGUUUGAUGUCCUAAGGGAGUGAGCAGAGAUAGGAUGUCUGGUUCCUCCACUGCUGACUUUCUGUGUGAUCUUAGAUGAGUCACUAGCCUCUCGGGGACCCUGUUUCCCUAUAUGUUCAUUCAUCUAUUUGCUUACUAUUUGCUUACCCAUCCAACUGCACAUCCAUCCACCAACCCAUCCACCCAUCCAUCUACCCACCUAUCCAUCCACUCAUCCAUCUACCCACCUAUCCACCAAUCCACCUAUCCACCUAUCCAUCCAUCCAUUCGUCCAUCCACUCACCCAUCCACCCAUCCACCCACCCACUCAUGCACCUAUCCAUCCAUCCACCCAUCCAUCCACCUACCCAUCCACCCACUCAUGCAUCUAUCAGUUAUCUAUAAAUUUUGUUUGCACAUCUCCUAUGCAUUGAGUGGCUCUUAGGUUCUGGGAGUGCAGCAAGCUCCUGCCUCUUGCUCUCUGGAGGUGAUCGUACAUGAAAGUCUAGCAACACAAGGGCCCAACUCUUUCUCACCACUAAUGCUCUAUUCCUGGGAAGGCAGUACAGCACAGUGGUUAAACGCUGGGCUUUGUAACUCAAUAGACCUCAAUUUGAAUGGUUUCUUUCCUAUUAACAGCCAUGGAACCUUGAACAGCUGGUGUAAACUCUUUGAAACUUUUUCAGUAAAGACCAUCAUUUAAGAAUCAAUGUUACACCUUAUUUACACUUUCAGUUUCUCACACUAGAGAAACCAUUUGGUAUUUACACAUGUGUCCUAUUUAUUUCACUUAAGAAUAUGGCCUCAAAAUGAUUAAAAUGAAUAAUUGAUAAUUUGAAAUAGGAAAAGGUCCAAAGGUAUAGGGGUGGUGGGAGGGGAAGGGGAAAUGAAAGAAGGGAAAGGAAAUAUUAUGAGAAAAGAAAAAAAAAUGGAACCAAAAUCUAUGUAAAUAGGGAAGGGUGGAGGGGGUGAAGGGUGCACAGGUAAUGGGGGAAAAAAUAGGAACCAAGAUACAUCAUGUACAGGUACACGCACCCAAUGAUAAAUGUAAAUGCAUUGUACCUAAAAUGUGCCAAUAAAAGAAUUUAAGGAAAAAAAGAAUAAAUGUUACAAUUAUUAUAAAUUAUUUAGGGGUAGUGCACAUAUCACAUAGUAAACUUCCAUCCAUCCAUUUAUACAUCCACCCAUCCUUUCAACAAAUGUAUUGUGAGCACCUAUCCAUGUACCAGC